UUGAUUAUUUUUUAUUUAUUAAAAGUUUUAUUUAUUUUGUUUUAUUUUUAAAAAUAUUUAUAAAAUAAUAGGUUUUAGUAUUUAUUAAUGAAAAAAUAAAGUUUAUAAUAGUGAAAAGUAUUGUGAAAGAAAAUUGAAAUAUAUUGAAAAAUUUUUAUUUUAAAAGAAAAUUUAAUUUAUUGUACCUUGUGUGUCAGGGUUUAUUAAUUAAAAGUUAUUUAUUUAAUUUUUUCGAUUUUAAAAGAGUUAAUAUAUUAAUAAAUUUAAUGUAAUAAAAUUAUUUUAAAUAAUAUAUUAGUAAUGAAAGGUUAUUCGUUUUUAAAGGUAUCUAGUUUUUUAAGAAAUAAAUUUAAUUUAAAAAUUUUAUAUUAUUAAAUUAAUUAUAUUAAUUUAAUAAUUAUUAAAUUUUAAUAAUUUAUGGGAUAAGCUAUAAAUUAAAUAAUUAAAAAUUAAUAAAAUUAUAAUAAAUAUAAGCUUAAGAUUAGUUAUUAUUAAAAAUAUUGUUAUAAGUUAUUUUAAAAUAUUAUUAUUUAUUUAAUUUUAAUUUUUUAUUAAAAUAUUUAUUUUAAUUUUGAAAAUAAAGUAAUAAUGAUAAAAUUAGUAUAUUAAAAUAUAAAAAUAAUUAUUAUUGAUAAGUUUAAAUAAAGAAUUCGGCAAAAUAGUAUUCGCCUGUUUAACAAAAACAUGUCUUUUUGUUUUUAUAAAAAGUCUAACCUGCCCACUGAUUUUUUAAAUGGCCGCAGUAUAUUAACUGUGCAAAGGUAGCAUAAUCAUUAGUUUUUUAAUUGAAAGCUGGUAUGAAUGGUUGGACGAAAUAUUAACUGUUUCAUAUAAAUUUAUAAUAAAAUUUUAUUUUUUAGUUAAAAAGCUAAAAUAAAUUUAAAAGACGAGAAGACCCUAUAAAUCUUUAUAUUUUAUUAUAUUAUAGUUUUGUUGAAAUAAUUUUUUUUAAUAUAUGUAUAUUAUUUUAUUGGGGUGAUAUUAAAAUUUAAUAAACUUUUAAUUUUUAAAUUCAUUGAUUUAUGAAUAAUUGAUCCAUUAAUAAUGAUUAAAAAUUUAAGUUACUUUAGGGAUAACAGCGUAAUUUUUUUGGAAAGUUCUUAUUGAUAAAAAAGAUUGCGACCUCGAUGUUGGAUUAAGAUAUAAUUUUAGGUGUAGUUGCUUAAAUUUUAAGUCUGUUCGACUUUUAAAUUCUUACAUGAUCUGAGUUCAAACCGGUGUAAGCCAGGUUGGUUUCUAUCUUUAAAUUAUUAAAAUGUUUUAGUACGAAAGGACCAAAUAUUUAAUAAAUUAUUAUUUUUAUAAUGAAUAUAAAUAAUUACU
rnacentral:rRNA from 1 species